UCCUACGGGAGGCAGCAGUGGGGAAUUUUGGACAAUGGGGGCAACCGUGAUCCAGCAAUAUCGGGUGUGUGAAGAAGGCCUUCGGGUUGUAAAGCUUUUUUGUCCGGAAAGAUAAUUUAGUCCCUAAUAUGGAUGGAGGAUGACGGUUCUGGAAGAAUAAGCACCGGCUAAAUAUGUGCCAGCAGCCGCGGUUAUUCGUAGGGUGCGAGCGUUAAUUGGAAUUUCUGGGGGUAAAGCGUGCGCAGGCGGUAUGUUAAGAUCGAUGUGAAAUUCCCGGGGUUAACCUGGGAAUUUCAUUGGUGACUGGCAGAUUUUGAGUGUGGCAGAGGGAGGUAGAAUUCCAAGUGUAGCAGUGAAAUUCGUAGAGAUUUGGAGGAAUACCGAUGGCGAAGGCAGCCUCCUGGGCCACCACUGACGCUCAUGCACGAAAGCGUGGGGAGCAAACAGGAUUAGAUACCCUGGUAGGCCACGCCGUAAACGACGUCAACGAGGAGUCGGGGGGUAGGCGGAUCAUUCGGAGGGGCGGCGGCUCUUCGUACAUAGGAGUUUAAUAU
rnacentral:rRNA from 1 species